rnacentral:rRNA from 1 species
AACGAACGCUGGCGGCAUGGAUUAGGCAUGCAAGUCGAACGCUCACCGCAAGGUGGGAGUGGCGGAAGGGUGAGGAACACGUGAGUAAUCUACCUCCAAGUCGGGAAUAACAGUUGGAAACGACUGCUAAUACCGGAUGUGGCUGUUGAACCGCAUGGUUUAACGGCUAAAGAUUUAUCGCUUGGAGAUGAGCUCGCGUCCCAUUAGCUAGUUGGUGAGGUAACGGCUCACCAAGGCAACGAUGGGUAGCUGGUCUGAGAGGAUGGUCAGCCACACUGGGACUGAGACACUGCCCAGACUCCUACGGGAGGCAG